UAGUCCACGCCGUAAACGAUGCGUACUCGCUGCUGGCAAACUUGAAUGUCAGUGGCCACGCGAAAGUAUUAAGUAUGCCACCUGGGGAGUACGUCGGCAACGAUGAAACUCAAAGGAAUUGACGGGGGCCCGCACAAGCGGAGGAACAUGUGGUUUAAUUCGAUGAUACGCGAGGAACCUUACCUGGGCUUAAAUGUAGAUUGCAUAGAGUGGAGACAUUCUUUUCUUCGGACUAUUUACAAGGUGCUGCAUGGUUGUCGUCAGCUCGUGCCGUGAGGUGUCGGGUUAAGUCCCAUAACGAGCGCAACCCCUAUCGUUAGUUACCAUCAGGUCAUGCUGGGGACUCUAGCGAGACUGCCGGUGUAAACCGCGAGGAAGGUGGGGAUGACGUCAAAUCAGCACGGCCCUUACGCCCAGGGCUACACACGUGUUACAAUGGCCGGUACAGAGGGCAGCUACAUAGCAAUAUGAUGCGAAUCUCGAAGCCGGUCCCAGUUCGGAUCGG
rnacentral:rRNA from 1 species